rnacentral:rRNA from 1 species
AACGGCGGCCGUAACUAUAACGGUCCUAAGGUAGCGAAAUUCCUUGUCAGGUAAGUUCUGACCCGCACGAAUGGCGUAAUGAUCUGGGAGCUGUCUCAACUGCCCGCCCGGCGAAAUUGUAGUACCGGUGAAGAUGCCGGUUACCCGCGACUAGACGGAAAGACCCCAUGGAGCUUUACUGUAGCUUAAUAUUGGAUUUCGGCAUUUCAUGUACAGGAUAGGUGGGAGACUAGGAAACAUAGGCGUCAGCUUAUGCGGAGUCGUCCUUGGGAUACCACUCUUGGAGUGCUGAAAUUCUAACCUGCAGCCCUGAAUCGGGUUGGGGGACAUUGUUAGGUGGGCAGUUUGACUGGGGCGGUCGCCUCCAAAAAGGUAACGGAGGCGCUCAAAGGUUGGCUCAGCAUGGAUGGAAACCAUGCUAUAGAGUGCAAACGCAAAAGCCAGCCUGACUGCGAGACUGACGGGUCGAGCAGAAACGAAAGUUGGAGUUAGUGAUCCGGCGGUAUGUGAAUGGAAAUGCCGUCGCUCAACGGAUAAAAGCUACCCUGGGGAUAACAGGCUGAUCUCCCCCAAGAGUCCACAUCGACGGGGAGGUUUGGCACCUCGAUGUCGGCUCAUCACAUCCUGGGGCUGUAUUCGGUCCCAAGGGUUCGGCUGUUCGCCGAUUAAAGUGGCACGCGAGCUGGGUUCAGAACGUCGUGAGACAGUUCGGUCCCUAUCUGUCGUGGGCGAAGGAUAUUUGAGAGGAGCUGUCCCUAGUACGAGAGGACCGGGAUGGACGCACCUCUGGUGCACCAGUUGUCACGCCAGUGGCACAGCUGGGCAGCUAAGUGCGGAUCGGAUAAACGCUGAAAGCAUCUAAGCGUGAAGCCGUCCUUAAGAUAAGAUAUCCCACUUUUAAGUUAAGACCCCUUGAAGACUACGAGGUUGAUAGGUCUAAGGUGUAAGUUGUGUGAGCAAUUUAGCCAGCAGAUACUAAUCGGUCGAGGGCUUAAACCU